rnacentral:rRNA from 1 species
GACGAACGCUGGCGGCAGGCCUAACACAUGCAAGUCGAACGAAGUCUUCGGACUUAGUGGCGGACGGGUGAGUAACACGUGGGAACGUGCCUUUAGGUUCGGAAUAACUCAGGGAAACUUGUGCUAAUACCGAAUGUGCCCUUCGGGGGAAAGAUUUAUCGCCUUUAGAGCGGCCCGCGUCUGAUUAGCUAGUUGGUGAGGUAAUGGCUCACCAAGGCUACGAUCAGUAGCUGGUCUGAGAGGAUGACCAGCCACAUUGGGACUGGGACACGGUCCAAACUCCUACGGGAGGCAGCAGUGGGGAAUCUUGCGCAAUGGGCGAAAGCCUGACGCAGCCAUGCCGCGUGGAUGAUGAAGGUCUUAGGAUUGUAAAAUCCUUUCACCGGUGAAGAUAAUGACUGUAGCCGGAGAAGAAGCCCCGGCUAACUUCGUGCCAGCCGCCGCCGUAACAC